rnacentral:rRNA from 1 species
AACGUAGCGAAAGCUACGCUAAUACCGCAUACGAUCUACGGAUGAAAGCGGGGAUCGCAAGACCUCGCGCGAUUGGAGCGGCCGAUAUCAGAUUAGGUAGUUGGUGAGGUAAAGGCUCACCAAGCCGACGAUCUGUAGCUGGUCUGAGAGGACGACCAGCCACACUGGGACUGAGACACGGCCCAGACUCCUACGGGAGGCAGCAGUGGGAAUUUUGGACAAUGGGCGCAAGCCUGAUCCAGCAAUGCCGCGUGCAGGAUGAAGGCCUUCGGGUUGUAAACUGCUUUUGUACGGAACGAAACGGUGAGCUCUAAUACAGUUUGCUAAUGACGGUACCGUAAGAAUAAGCACCGGCUAACUACGUG